AUGACCCUGCUGCAGGUGGAUGGGCUCGGCGGGGCUGAAAUCCCCCCACACAGAUCCGUGGCCUCCUAUGAGCUGACUCAGCCACCCUCAGUGUCCGUGUCCCCAGGACAGACAGCCAGCAUCACCUGCUCUGGAGAUAAAUUGGGGGAUAAAUAUGCUUGCUGGUAUCAGCAGAAGCCAGGCCAGUCCCCUGUGCUGGUCAUCUAUCAAGAUAGCAAGCGGCCCUCAGGGAUCCCUGAGCGAUUCUCUGGCUCCAACUCUGGGAACACAGCCACUCUGACCAUCAGCGGGACCCAGGCUAUGGAUGAGGCUGACUAUUACUGUCAGGCGUGGGACAGCAGCACUGCA